rnacentral:tRNA from 1 species
UGGUGCGAGCGGCGGGACUUGAACCCGCACGAGCAUGAGCUCACUGCCACCUGAAGACAGCGCGUCUACCAUUCCGCCACGCUCGC